UUUAGAAACACUAGGGUAGACUCGUGUAUUGCAUCCCGAGCGACGCGAGAAACACUCCCUUUCGCUCUCUCUCGCGACAGCGGCGGCGACUCGCCGGUGGCCGGCUGGAGGAGAGGAGAUCCUCAACACUGGGGGCGCCCUUCCUCGACCCGGACGGUGCCCUUCCUCGACGUGGACGCCGCCACGGAGCCCAACCGAAGCCCUAGCCGGCAGAAGCACAAUAUCUUCCCCUUCCCCGCCUCCGACGGCGGCCGGUAGAAGGUACAUGAUAGAGGGAAAAGAGCUAGAGUUCUACAUGAAGAAGCUCCAGAAAAAGAUGGACAUUGGAUCAGUUUCUGUGUCUUUACUGCGGAGAAGCAAAAUAUUUAUUUGCUGGAUUUUGUUGUUUUUCCUCUUAAAAUUCGGAUGGAUCCAAAAGAAGACUGUUCUGGGAUCUUUUUUAAUAUCAACUAUUUAAGUACAACUACGUAGUAUUAAAAUCAUAUUGUUCUUGCGUA